CCUACGGGUGGCAGCAGUGGGGAAUAUUGGACAAUGGGGGGAACCCUGAUCCAGCCAUGCCGCGUGUGUGAAGAAGGCCCUCGGGUUGUAAAGCACUUUCAGUGAGGAAGAACGCCUGGUGGUUAAUACCCAUCAGGAAAGACAUCACUCACAGAAGAAGCACCGGCUAACUCCGUGCCAGCAGCCGCGGUAAUACGGAGGGUGCGAGCGUUAAUCUGAAUUACUGGGCGUAAAGCGCGCGUAGGUGGCUUGAUAAGCCGGUUGUGAAAGCCCCGGGCUCAACCUGGGAACGGCAUCCGGAACUGUCAAGCUAGAGUGCAGGAGAGGAAGGUAGAAUUCCCGGUGUAGCGGUGAAAUGCGUAGAGAUCGGGAGGAAUACCAGUGGCGAAGGCGGCCUUCUGGACUGACACUGACACUGAGGUGCGAAAGCGUGGGUAGCAAACAGGAUUAGAUACCCUGGUAGUC
rnacentral:rRNA from 1 species